rnacentral:lncRNA from 1 species
ACAAUUCAUUGCCAAAUUUCUGUGAGCUUUUCUACCCUGGGAUAUGUUCUGGGCCAAGUGUGAACAACGGUCUCUCUCUUUCCUGUCUCUCUGUCUCUCUCUCUCCCUCUCUCUUUUACUUUCUUUUCUCUCUCUCUCUCCUGUCUCUCUGUCUCUUUCUCUCUCCCUCUCUCUUUUACUUUCUUUUCUCUACCACCCUCCCUCUUAUCCUC